GCAGGAGUAUCGAAGAGGUCAUAACGGGGCGGUCUCGAAAACCGUUGGGCGGCAACGCCACGUGGGUUCGAAUCCCACCUCCUGCGCCA
rnacentral:tRNA from 1 species